UACGUAGGGCGCAAGCGUUGUCCGGAAUUAUUGGGCGUAAAGAGCUCGUAGGCGGCCAGUUGCGUCUGCUGUGAAAUCCCGGGGCUCAACCCCGGGCGUGCAGUGGAUACGGGCUGGCUAGAGGCAGGCAGGGGAGAACGGAAUUCCGGUGUAGCGGUGAAAUGCGCAGAUAUCGGGAGGAACACCGGUGGCGAAGGCGGUUCUCUGGGCCUGACUGACGCUGAGGAGCGAAAGCGUGGGGAGCGAACAGG
rnacentral:rRNA from 1 species